UACGUAGGGUCCGAGCGUUGUCCGGAAUUAUUGGGCGUAAAGAGCUCGUAGGCGGUUUGUCGCGUCUGCUGUGAAAUCCCGAGGCUCAACCUCGGGUCUGCAGUGGGUACGGGCAGACUGGAGUGCGGUAGAGGAGAGUGGAAUUCCUGGUGUAGCGGUGAAAUGCGCAGAUAUCAGGAAGAACACCCGUGGCUAAGGCGGCUCUCUAGUACGGUACUGACGCUGAGACGCGAAAGCGUGGGGAGCGAACAGG
rnacentral:rRNA from 1 species